AAAUCAGUAAAGAGAACACAAAUAUUACAUCAAAUGCUUGAAAUUCAUUACUUAGCAGGUGAUCGAAAAACUCAUUGAUUUCAUUGUUUUAGCUUCUCGGUAUAGUUCAUCAAUCUGGUCCUUAUAACAUUUAAGAAGUUGCUGCCUCUUGAACUUGAAGGUUGGAGUAAUCAGAUCCCUCUCCAUGUCAAAUGGUAUGGGCUCUAGAAGAAUUGCUUUCAGCAUCUCGAAGCCUCUGAGUCCAAGUUUCCGGCCAGUGUUAUUCAGUUCAUCAAGGAUGUAUUUCCUUGCUUGUGGAUGCUUGCACAACUCCUCGAAGGUACCAGUCAAGUUAUUUACUGAUGCCCAAUCCUCUAGGGACUUUCUUUCUGGAAUGGCUACGCCGACGACGAAUGACUCGAAACUGUUUCCGUAAACCCAAAUCGAGCUGAUAAGAGGGCAUUGGGCGUAUAGGCCUUCUAUGUUCUCCACAGCAAUAUAUUCUCCUUGGGACAAUUUGAAGAUAUUCUUUUUCCUAUCAAUGAUCUUCAUUGCACCAUCAGGCUGCCACUCCCCAAUAUCUCCUGUAUGAAACCACCCAUCAACAAGAACUUCGUUGGUUAGAUCCGAGCGCUUGUGGUAACCAGAGAAUAAUGUUUUACCCCUUAAGCAAAUCUCUCCACGGGGUAACGAAGAAAGUGCAUCGUACCCCAUUUGUGGUACUGAUUCAAGUCUUGCCUCUAUUGCUGAGACAGGAACGCCAACUGUCCCGAUCAUUGAGAAUACAUUGGAUAUUGAAGUAAAGCACCCAGCACAACUUUCUGUAAGUCCAUAUCCCUGUAAUAAAUCAGUGCAGGUUGUGACCCUCAGGAAUUCUUCCACAUGCCUAGGUAAGGGUGCCGCUCCAGAUAGCAUGAUUCUUACUCGGCCGCCAAGUACUUGUUUUAUUUUGUCAAAGACUAAUCUAUCAAAAAAAGGCGAUGCUUCGUCCUGUUUAUACCCUCUCUGCAAAUUCUUCAACUUAUAGUCAUAACCAUACUGGAAUAUCUUUUUUGCUAACACCCCUCCAGAAGAUAUUUUUUGAUUGAUGCCUGUGUAUAUGCGUUCAUAAACUCGAGGAACGCCACAGAACAUUGUGGGUUUUAACUCCUGAACAUCAUCCAUUAAAUAUCGAACAUCCCCUCGCCAAAAUCCGAUGGAGGCACCCUUAUAGAUGCAAUAGUUCUCCAUUACCUGAUCAAACACAUGGGCUAACGGGAGAUAGGAGAAGUAUGAGUCUUCUUCAGUCAACGGCUUAUCUG
rnacentral:misc_RNA from 1 species